rnacentral:rRNA from 3 species
ACUUAAAUUGAAGAGUUUGAUCAUGGCUCAGAUUGAACGCUGGCGGCAGGCCUAACACAUGCAAGUCGAACGGUAGCACAGAGAGCUUGCUCUCGGGUGACGAGUGGCGGACGGGUGAGUAAUGUCUGGGAAACUGCCUGAUGGAGGGGGAUAACUACUGGAAACGGUAGCUAAUACCGCAUAACGUCGCAAGACCAAAGAGGGGGACCUUCGGGCCUCUUGCCAUCAGAUGUGCCCAGAUGGGAUUAGCUAGUAGGUGGGGUAACGGCUCACCUAGGCGACGAUCCCUAGCUGGUCUGAGAGGAUGACCAGCCACACUGGAACUGAGACACGGUCCAGACUCCUACGGGAGGCAGCAGUGGGGAAUAUUGCACAAUGGGCGCAAGCCUGAUGCAGCCAUGCCGCGUGUAUGAAGAAGGCCUUCGGGUUGUAAAGUACUUUCAGCGGGGAGGAAGGUGUUGUGGUUAAUAACCGCAGCAAUUGACGUUACCCGCAGAAGAAGCACCGGCUAACUCCGUGCCAGCAGCCGCGGUAAUACGGAGGGUGCAAGCGUUAAUCGGAAUUACUGGGCGUAAAGCGCACGCAGGCGGUCUGUCAAGUCGGAUGUGAAAUCCCCGGGCUCAACCUGGGAACUGCAUUCGAAACUGGCAGGCUAGAGUCUUGUAGAGGGGGGUAGAAUUCCAGGUGUAGCGGUGAAAUGCGUAGAGAUCUGGAGGAAUACCGGUGGCGAAGGCGGCCCCCUGGACAAAGACUGACGCUCAGGUGCGAAAGCGUGGGGAGCAAACAGGAUUAGAUACCCUGGUAGUCCACGCCGUAAACGAUGUCGACUUGGAGGUUGUGCCCUUGAGGCGUGGCUUCCGGAGCUAACGCGUUAAGUCGACCGCCUGGGGAGUACGGCCGCAAGGUUAAAACUCAAAUGAAUUGACGGGGGCCCGCACAAGCGGUGGAGCAUGUGGUUUAAUUCGAUGCAACGCGAAGAACCUUACCUACUCUUGACAUCCAGAGAACUUUCCAGAGAUGGAUUGGUGCCUUCGGGAACUCUGAGACAGGUGCUGCAUGGCUGUCGUCAGCUCGUGUUGUGAAAUGUUGGGUUAAGUCCCGCAACGAGCGCAACCCUUAUCCUUUGUUGCCAGCGGUCCGGCCGGGAACUCAAAGGAGACUGCCAGUGAUAAACUGGAGGAAGGUGGGGAUGACGUCAAGUCAUCAUGGCCCUUACGAGUAGGGCUACACACGUGCUACAAUGGCGCAUACAAAGAGAAGCGAACUCGCGAGAGCAAGCGGACCUCAUAAAGUGCGUCGUAGUCCGGAUUGGAGUCUGCAACUCGACUCCAUGAAGUCGGAAUCGCUAGUAAUCGUAGAUCAGAAUGCUACGGUGAAUACGUUCCCGGGCCUUGUACACACCGCCCGUCACACCAUGGGAGUGGGUUGCAAAAGAAGUAGGUAGCUUAACCUUCGGGAGGGCGCUUACCACUUUGUGAUUCAUGACUGGGGUGAAGUCGUAACAAGGUAACCGUAGGGGAACCUGCGGUUGGAUCACCUCCUUACCUUAAAGAA